GACGAACGCUGGCGGCGUGCUUAACACAUGCAAGUCGAGCGGUAAGGCCCUUUCGGGGGUACACGAGCGGCGAACGGGUGAGUAACACGUGGGUGACCUGCCCUCAGCUCUGGGAUAAGCCUGGGAAACCGGGUCUAAUACUGGAUAUGACUCCAUGACGCAUGUUGUGGGGUGGAAAGCCUUGUGCGGCUGAGGAUGGGCCCGCGGCCUAUCAGCUUGUUGGUGGGGUGANGGCCUACCAAGGCGACGACGGGUAGCCGGCCUGAGAGGGCGACCGGCCACACUGGGACUGAGACACGGCCCAGACUCCUACGGGAGGCAGCAGUGGGGAAUCUUGCGCAAUGGGCGAAAGCCUGACGCAGCGACGCCGCGCGAGGGAUGACGGCCUCGGUUCGUAACGUAC
rnacentral:rRNA from 1 species